GAUGUGGCAUGGAGGGAGGUGGGCAGUGGGCAUGGAAGGGUGGGUUGGGCUGGUGAUCUCAGAGAUCUUUUCCAUCCUGAAUACCCAAUGAUUCUCUUACCCUUUCUCCUGCCAGGUUGGCCAGCUGUGACGCUGCACUGGAAAAGCAUAUGUGAAGUACUGCAUUGCCCCACUGCCAGAGCCUGGGGCUGAUUUCCUCACCUCCCACCUCAAGGAGCAGUGACAGCUGUGAUGGCCUCUAAGUGCUGCCCGCGUUAGCCCUUUUGCUAGGACCCUCUUCUCCAUAGCAUCCCUGUAAUGGAAUCCAGAGCCUGACAUCAGCGUGUAAUACUCUUCUGCAUGGAUGUAGAUGUUGCAUCCCUUCCCAUGACGGGCAGUAGUCUUUCAGACCUCUAAGAGAAUUUAUUUUCAACUCUUUGAAUCAAUCUGGGAGAGCCUACAAGUCUUCCUAAGGUGAAAGGUCUAAAUCCAAUACCCUGGGACUUUCCUAUCCUGAGAUCUGGACUUGAUCUGUGUGGGUCAUCCUUUCCACACUUAGAAUGCUCUAUGGUACAGGCAGCUGAUCCAGACAAGCCACAGCCCUGGUGGCAUCAAGCUGAUGCGAGACCGAACAAGAGACACAGUCAUGGUGUAAGCGAGGGCACAGAUUACCUUUCGAGCUUCACUGGCUAUGUCAUCACUGGAGGAGUUCAUCUCAGGUCUCUUCACUUCCUUCCUUUCUUCACGACCCUCUUCCUCAGAGGAGACUUCUCUGUCACUGAUGUGGCUGGUGAACUCCUCCAGCUUUCUCUUCAACUCCUCCUCCUCGGCAUCAGGAUCAAGCUGGGACUCUGUGGCCGGAGACUGAAACGACAGUAGAAGGGAAUUGUUCAUGCAGAAUUUAUUUGGUUUUCCCUGUGGAAAAUUGGAAUUUUCCCCUUAAAAAAAAAAAGAAGAAAAAGCACACGAGGGAUUAUGGACCAAAAACCACCAUAUUUUCAUUUAUAGCCAUGGUAUGGCUGGCAGCUCCGAGGGCACAAAUCCCCACCAGCCAAAGGCAAUGCAUCAGGCUGCAAGGAGAACCCCCAUUCUCUCAGGUCGCCCAGCAUGCUGAAUCAGAGCCCCUCAGUACUCUGAUGUGUGAUGAGAAAGCACUCGGAUCUACCAACAGGAACACCAAAUAGCUGUCCCCAUUAGGAAUUUCGGGAAGGAUAAGACAUUACGUUGUUCCUCCCCCAUGCCUGACGGACUGCUCUGUAAUUAUCACUAUCCAUCCUACUGAGCCAUUAGCGGUCAGAGCACCUCAUUGCAAUGGGUUCACAUGAAGGAAAA